rnacentral:rRNA from 1 species
CCCUUAGAUGUUCUGGGCCGCACGCGUGCUACACUGAUGCAUUCAACGAGUCUAAAACCUGGUCUGAUAGGGCUGGGUAAUCUUUUGAAAGUGCAUCGUGAUUGGGAUAGAUGAUUGCAAUUCUUCGUCUUCAACGAGGAAUGCCUAGUAAACGCAAGUCAUCAGCUUGCAUUGAUUACGUCCCUGCCCUUUGUACACACCGCCCGUCGCUCCUACCGAUUGAAUGAUCCGAUGAAUACCAUGGAUUGAGAGUACGAAUAGGUUCGCUUAUUUCUGCUGCUCGAGAAGUGGAGUAAAUCUUAUCAUUUAGAGGAAGGAGAAGUCGUANCA